UAUGCGUAUCCAUGUGUAUUG
rnacentral:piRNA from 1 species